rnacentral:rRNA from 1 species
AGUGAACGCUGGCGGUAGGCCUAACACAUGCAAGUCGAACGGCAGCACAGUAAGAGCUUGCUCUUACGGGUGGCGAGUGGCGGACGGGUGAGGAAUACAUCGGAAUCUACUUUUUCGUGGGGGAUAACGUAGGGAAACUUACGCUAAUACCGCAUACGACCUACGGGUGAAAGCAGGGGAUCUUCGGACCUUGCGCGAUCGAAUGAGCCGAUGUCGGAUUAGUUAGUUGGCGGGGUAAAGGCCCACCAAGGCGACGAUCCGUAGCUGGUCUGAGAGGAUGAUGAGCCACACUGGAACUGGGACACGGUCCAGACUCCUACGGGAGGCAGCAGUGGGGAAUAUUGGACAAUGGGCGCAAGCCUGAUCCAGCCAUACCGCGUGGGUGAAGAAGGCCUUCGGGUUGUAAAGCCCUUUUGUUGGGAAAGAAGAGCAGCAGGUUAAUACCCCGCUGUUCUGACGGUACCCAAAGAAUAAGCACCGGCUAACUUCGUG